AUACGGAGGGUGCAAGCGUUAUCCGGAAUCAUUGGGUUUAAAGGGUCCGUAGGCGGACUAAUAAGUCAGGGGUGAAAUCCCACAGCUUAACUGUGGAACUGCCUUUGAUACUGUUAGUCUUGAGUUAUAUGGAAGUAGAUAGAAUGUGUAGUGUAGCGGUGAAAUGCUUAGAGAUUACACAGAAUACCGAUUGCGAAGGCAGUAUACUACAUAUAUACUGACGCUAAUGGACGAAAGCGUGGGGAGCGAACAGGAUUAGAAACCCUUGUAGUCC
rnacentral:rRNA from 1 species